UCCAAUGUGGUGUAGUAGCUAACAUUGCUAUCUUUCAUAACGUGUACGUGUGACGACACAGCAGCCCGGGGUUCGAUUCCCCGCAUUCGAA